UGGCCAAGCUUGAAGUUGAGAUUGGUGACUUCAAAAAGGUGCUGGAGAAGACGUUGUCUAAUGGGAUUUCGUCCAAAAAGAACAUUGAAUCACCCAAGAACCACUUGACCACUAAUCUUGCAAGGACGAUUUCAAGAUCCAAUAUCCAUUCGAAGUGUAGGAAGGUUGCAGAUCCAAGAUAAGGCAGUCAGCACACAAGCUCAAAGGACAAAACAGCACAAAGCCCUGAGGACCCCCAAUCCGUCCAUCUCAUAGGUCCUCAGAAUAUAAAGACUGCAGAAAAGUCCCUUGCAGUGAAGGAACCCACAGCAAAUUUUGCUCCCAGCGUCUCCUCCUUAAAGAUUGCUCAGGUUCUGGAUCAAACGGAAACAAUUGCUGAACUGUUGAACGUGUGCUGACCAUGCACAGAUUGUAAUCUGCACUGCCUUGCUGUGAUCUGCAAAAAUAAAUAAAAACAAAAAUUAUUUCUUUUUCUUUUUUUUCUUUUUUUUGGUAUGUAUGUACAGCAAUAAUUAAUGCAGAAUCUUAUUAGAACGAAUUAUUUUAAAUAAUCCCCGGCAACGGUGCCAAUUUCUUGAUAGGCUUUUUAGUACAUGCGCAAACAGGGUUAAAACUCCUA